rnacentral:rRNA from 1 species
GGAAUAUUGGUCAAUGGGCGAGAGCCUGAACCAGCCAUGCCGCGUGCAGGAAGACGGCCUUCUGGGUUGUAAACUGCUUUUAGCAGGGAACAAAAAGGCCAUGCGUGGCAAAGUGCGUGUACCUGAAGAAUAAGGCACGGCGAACUCCGUGCCAGCAGCAGCGGUAAACCGGAGGGUCCAAGCGUUGUCCGGAUUUAUUGGGUUUAAAGGGUGCGUGUGCGGCCUUAUAAGUCAGUGGUGAAAUCCUCCAGCUCAACUGGAGAACUGCCAUUGAUACUGUAGGGCUUGAGUACAGACGAGGUAGGCGGAAUUUAUGGUGUAGCGGUGAAAUGCAUAGAUACCAUAAAGAACACCUAUUGCGAAGGCAGCUUACUAGACUGUAACUGACGCUGAGGCACGAAAGCGUGGGGAGCGAACAGG